UCCCAGUUCGGCAGGUUUCAGGGAA
rnacentral:piRNA from 1 species